UCUGCCCCCUCCCCCGGGAUCCCCGCCCGAAAGGACGGGUAAUACCGGAUCCCCGCGGGCGCCGCGUGGCCCCCGGGAUAAAGCCCCGAGAGGAAGGGAUGCCUCCGCGGCCCAUCAGGUAGACGGCGGGGUGACCGUCUCCCGUGCCGACAACGGGUACCCGGGUUGAGAGACCGACCGGCCAGAUUGGGACUGAGACACGGCCCAGACUCCUACGGGAGGCAGCAGUGGGGAAUCUUGCGCAAUGGGGGGAACCCUGACGCAGCGACGCCGCGUGCGGGACGGAGGCCUUCGGGUCGUAAACCGCUUUCAGCAGGGAAGAGUCAAGACUGUACCUGCAGAAGAAGCCCCGGCUAACUACGUGCCAGCAGCCGCGGUAAUACGUAGGGGGCGAGCGUUAUCCGGAUUCAUUGGGCGUAAAGCGCGCGUAGGCGGCCCGGCAGGCCGGGGGUCGAAGCGGGGGGCUCAACCCCCCGAAGCCCCCGGAACCUCCGCGGCUUGGGUCCGGUAGGGGAGGGUGGAACACCCGGUGUAGCGGUGGAAUGCGCAGAUAUCGGGUGGAACACCGGUGGCGAAGGCGGCCCUCUGGGCCGAGACCGACGCUGAGGCGCGAAAGCUGGGGGAGCGAACAGGAUUAGAUACCCUAGUAGUCCCAGCCGUAAACGAGGGACGCUAGGUGUGGGGGGGCGAUCCCCCCCGUGCCGCAGCCAACGCAUUAAGCGUCCCGCCUGGGGAGUACGGCCGCAAGGCUAAAACUCAAAGGAAUUGACGGGGGCCCGCACAAGCAGCGGAGCAUGUGGCUUAAUUCGAAGCAACGCGAAGAACCUUACCAGGGCUUGACAUAUGGGUGAAGCGGGGGAGACCCCGUGGCCGAGAGGAGCCCAUACAGGUGGUGCAUGGCUGUCGUCAGCUCGUGUCGUGAGAUGUUGGGUUAAGUCCCGCAACGAGCGCAACCCCCGCCGCGUGUUGCCAUCGGGUGAUGCCGGGAACCCACGCGGGACCGCCGCCGUCAAGGCGGAGGAGGGCGGGGACGACGUCAAGUCAUCAUGCCCCUUAUGCCCUGGGCUGCACACGUGCUACAAUGGCCGGUACAGAGGGAUGCCACCCCGCGAGGGGGAGCGGAUCCCGGAAAGCCGGCCCCAGUUCGGAUUGGGGGCUGCAACCCGCCCCCAUGAAGUCGGAGUUGCUAGUAAUCGCGGAUCAGCAUGCCGCGGUGAAUGCGUUCCCGGGCCUUGUACU
rnacentral:rRNA from 1 species